UACGAAGGGGGCUAGCGUUGCUCGGAAUCACUGGGCGUAAAGCGCACGUAGGCGGCUUUUAAGUCAGGGUGAAUCCUGGAGCUCAACUCCAGAACUGCCUUUGACUACUGGGAAGCUUGAGUCCGGAAGAGGUGAGUGGAACUCCGAGUGUAGAGGUGAAAUUCGUAGAUAUUCGCAAGAACACCAGUGGCGAAGGCGCUCACUGGCCCGAUACUGACGCUGAGCACGAAAGCGUGGGAGCAAACAGG
rnacentral:rRNA from 1 species